rnacentral:rRNA from 1 species
UACGAAGGGGGCUAGCGUUGCUCGGAAUCACUGGGCGUAAAGGGUGCGUAGGCGGGUCUUUAAGUCAGGGGUGAAAUCCUGGAGCUCAACUCCAGAACUGCCUUUGAUACUGAGGAUCUUGAGUUCGGGAGAGGUGAGUGGAACUGCGAGUGUAGAGGUGAAAUUCGUAGAUAUUCGCAAGAACACCAGUGGCGAAGGCGGCUCACUGGCCCGAUACUGACGCUGAGGCACGAAAAGCGUGGGGGAGCAAAACAGG